UUAAAAAGCUCGUAGUUGAAUUUCGGGGUUAGUAGGUUGGUCAUGCCUCUGGUAUGUACUGGUCUCACUGAUUCCUCCUUCCUGAUGAACCUUAAUGCCAUUAAUUUGGUGUUUUGGGGAAUUUGGACUGUUACUUUGAAAAAAUUAGAGUGUUUAAAGCAAGCUAACGCUUGAAUACAUUAGCAUGGAAUAAUGAAAUAGGACGUUCGAUCCUAUUUUGUUGGUUUCUAGGAUUGACGUAAUGAUUAAUAGGGAUAGUUGGGGG
rnacentral:rRNA from 1 species